rnacentral:rRNA from 1 species
CCUACGGGGGGCUGCAGUGAGGAAUAUUGGUCAAUGGGCGCGAGCCUGAACCAGCCAAGUCGCGUGAGGGAAGACGGUCCUAUGGAUUGUAAACCUCUUUUGUCGGGGAGCAAAAGACGCCACGCGUGGCGUUCCGAGAGUACCCGAAGAAAAAGCAUCGGCUAACUCCGUGCCAGCAGCCGCGGGAAUACGGAGGAUGCUGGCGUUAUACGGAUUUAUUGGGUGUAAAUGGUGCGCAGGCGGAAGAUCAAGUCAGCGGUAAACUGGAGAGGCUCAACCUCUUCGGGCCGUUGAAACUGGUUGUCUUGAGUGAGCGAGAAGUAUGCGGAAUGCGUGGUGUAGCGGUGAAAUGCAUAGAUAUCACGCAGAACUCCGAUUGCGAAGGCAGCAUACCGGCGCGCAACUGACGCUGAUGCACGAAAGUGUGGGGAUCGAACAGGAUUAGAUACCCUAGUAGUC